CAGCAGCCGCGGGAAUACAGAGGGUGCGAGCGUUAAUCGGAUUUACUGGGCGUAAAGCGUGCGUAGGCGGCUUCUUAAGUCGGAUGUGAAAUCCCUGAGCUUAACUUAGGAAUUGCAUUCGAUACUGGGAAGCUAGAGUAUGGGAGAGGAUGGUAGAAUUCCAGGUGUAGCGGUGAAAUGAGUAGAGAUCUGGAGGAAUACCGAUGGCGAAGGCAGCCAUCUGGCCUAAUACUGACGAUGAGGUACGAAAGCAUGGGGAGCAAACAGGAUUAGAUACCCCGGUAGUCCCUGUCUCUUAUAC
rnacentral:rRNA from 1 species